UACGAAGGGGGCUAGCGUUGCUCGGAAUCACUGGGCGUAAAGCGCACGUAGGCGGCUUUUUAAGUCAGGGGUGAAAUCCUGGAGCUCAACUCCAGAACCGCCUUUGAUACUGAGAGCUUGAGUCCGGGAGAGGUGAGUGGAACUGCGAGUGUAGAGGUGAAAUUCGUAGAUAUUCGCAAGAACACCAGUGGCGAAGGCGGCUCACUGGCCCGGUACUGACGCUGAGGUGCGAAAGCGUGGGGAGCAAACAGG
rnacentral:rRNA from 1 species